UAGGGAAUAUUGCACAAUGGGGGAAACCCUGAUGCAGCAACGCCGCGUGAAGGAAGACGGUUUUCGGAUUGUAAACUUCUUUUCUUAGUGAAGAAACAAAUGACGGUAGCUAAGGAAUAAGCAUCGGCUAACUACGUGCCAGCAGCCGCGGUAAUACGUAGGAUGCGAGCGUUAUCCGGAAUUACUGGGUGUAAAGGGAGCGCAGGCGGGACUGCAAGUUGGAUGUGAAAUGCCGCAGCUUAACUGCGGAGCUGCAUCCAAAACUGUAGUUCUUGAGUGGAGUAGAGGCAAGCGGAAUUCCGAGUGUAGCGGUGAAAUGCGUAGAUAUUCGGAGGAACACCAGUGGCGAAGGCGGCUUGCUGGGCUCUAACUGACGCUGAGGCUCGAAAGUGUGGGGAGCAAACAGGAUUAGAUACCC
rnacentral:rRNA from 1 species